rnacentral:rRNA from 1 species
GGAUAACAUUUGGAAACAGAUGCUAAUACCGCAUAGAUCCAAGAACCGCAUGGUUCUUGGCUGAAAGAUGGCGUAAGCUAUCGCUUUUGGAUGGACCCGCGGCGUAUUAGCUAGUUGGUGAGGUAAUGGCUCACCAAGGCGAUGAUACGUAGCCGAACUGAGAGGUUGAUCGGCCACAUUGGGACUGAGACACGGCCCAAACUCCUACGGGAGGCAGCAGUAGGGAAUCUUCCACAAUGGACGCAAGUCUGAUGGAGCAACGCCGCGUGAGUGAAGAAGGCUUUCGGGUCGUAAAACUCUGUUGUUGGAGAAGAAUGGUCGGCAGAGUAACUGUUGCCGGCGUGACGGUAUCCAACCAGAAAGCCACGGCUAACUACGUGCCAGCAGCCGCGGUAAUACGUAGGUGGCAAGCGUUAUCCGGAUUUAUUGGGCGUAAAGCGAGCGCAGGCGGUUUUUUAAGUCUGAUGUGAAAGCCCUCGGCUUAACCGAGGAAGCGCAUCGGAAACUGGGAAACUUGAGUGCAGAAGAGGACAGUGGAACUCCAUGUGUAGCGGUGAAAUGCGUAGAUAUAUGGAAGAACACCAGUGGCGAAGGCGGCUGUCUGGUCUGUAACUGACGCUGGGGCUCGAAAGCAUGGGUAGCGAACAGGAUUAGAUACCCUGGUGGUCCAUGCCGUAAACGAUGAAUG